rnacentral:tRNA from 1 species
AGGGAUUUAGCUCAGUGGUAGAGCACUUGCUUAGCAAGCACAAGUCCCUG